GCCCCUUUCGGCCAAGAGAGGAAACUUGAGCCUGAUGUGGUUUCUGCCCACACCCCGCCCCCACCUUGCUCCUGGCCAGCGGGGGCACACAUGGCUCCGAGCCUCUCACAGCCCUCCUUUUCAGCCCAGGAGUCCAGCCAGGUUAUCGUCGCCUUGUGUCCCCACGGCUCUCCUAGGGAUGGGGAAACUGAGUCAUAUCAAGGUGGAAGACAGCUGAAGCACAAUUACCCCAACAGGCUGGAGAACUAAGAAUAAAGAGAUCUUCUG